rnacentral:rRNA from 1 species
AUUGAACGCUGGCGGCAUGCUUUACACAUGCAAGUCGAACGGCAGCACGGGGGUAACCCUGGUGGCGAGUGGCGAACGGGUGAGUAAUGCAUCGGAACAUAUCUUAAAGUGGGGAAUAACGCAUCGAAAGGUGUGCUAAUACUCCAUAUACUCUAAGGAGGAAAGCGGGGGAUCGAAAGACCUCGUGCUUUAAGGGUGGCCGAUGUCUGAUUAGCUAGUUGGUGGGGUAAAGGCUUACCAAGGCGACGAUCAGUAGCUGGUCUGAGAGGACGAUCAGCCACACUGGGACUGAGACACGGCCCAGACUCCUACGGGAGGCAGCAGUGGGGAAUAUUGGACAAUGGGCGAAAGACCUGAUCCAGCAAUACCGCGUGAGUGAUGAAGGCCUUAGGGUU